GCUGCUGGAUAGCUCAGCUGUUUGAGCAUGGUGCUGAUAAUGCCAAGGUUGCAGGUUUGAUCCAGCUGCAUAUUCCUGCAUUGCAGCA